AUUGAACGCUGGCGGCAUGCCUUACACAUGCAAGUCGAACGGUAACAGGUCUUCGGAUGCUGACGAGUGGCGAACGGGUGAGUAAUACAUCGGAACGUGCCCGAGAGUGGGGGAUAACGAAGCGAAAGCUUUGCUAAUACCGCAUACGAUCUCAGGAUGAAAGCAGGGGACCGCAAGGCCUUGCGCUCACGGAGCGGCCGAUGGCAGAUUAGGUAGUUGGUCGGAUAAAAGCUUACCAAGCCGACGAUCUGUAGCUGGUCUGAGAGGACGACCAGCCACACUGGGACUGAGACACGGCCCAGACUCCUACGGGAGGCAGCAGUGGGGAAUUUUGGACAAUGGGCGUAAGCCUGAGCCAGCCAUGCAGCGUGCAGGAUGAAGGCCUUCGGGUUGUAAACUGCUUUUGUACGGAACGAAAAGACUCUGGUUAAUACCUGGGGUCCAUGACGGUACCGUAAGAAUAAGCACCGGCUAACUACGCGCCAGCAGCCGCGGUAA
rnacentral:rRNA from 1 species